GAUGGAAGGAGCUGUGUUAUCAGGAGGUACUGGAUGGAAGGAGCUGUGUUAUCAGGAGGUACUGGAUGGAAGGAGCUGUGUUAUCAGGAGGUACUGGAUGGAAGGAGCUGUGUUGUCAGGAGGUACUGGAUGGAAGGAGCUGUGUUAUCAGGAGGUACUGGAUGGAAGGAGCUGUGUUAUCAGGAGGUACUGGAUGGAAGGAGCUGUGUUAUCAGGAGGUACUGGAUGGAAGGAGCUGUGUUAUCAGGAGGUACUGGAUGGAAGGAGCUGUGUUAUCAGGAGGUACUGGAUGGAAGGAGCUGUGUUGUCAGGAGGUACUGGAUGGAAGGAGCUGUGUUGUCAGGAGGUACUGGAUGGAAGGAGCUGUGUUAUCAGGAGGUACUGGAUGGAAGGAGCUGUGUUGUCAGGAGGUACUGGAUGGAAGGAGCUGUGUUAUCAGGAGGUACUGGAUGGAAGGAGCUGUGUUGUCAGGAGGUACUGGAUGGAAGGAGCUGUGUUAUCAGGAGGUACUGGAUGGAAGGAGCUGUGUUAUCAGGAGGUACUGGAUGGAAGGAGCUGUGUUAUCAGGAGGUACUGGAUGGAAGGAGCUGUGUUAUCAGGAGGUACUGGAUGGAAGGAGCUGUGUUAUCAGGAGGUACUGGAUGGAAGGAGCUGUGUUAUCAGGAGGUACUGGAUGGAAGGAGCUGUGUUAUCAGGAGGUACUGGAUGGAAGGAGCUGUGUUAUCAGGAGGUACUGGAUGGAAGGAGCUGUGUUAUCAGGAGGUACUGGA